UAAACAAAAUGGUGUGGCAUACGAAUAUCAGUUGGAAGUCCUAAAUGAAGAAGAAAAUGAAAAAAUUGAAAAACAUGACGAAAAUAACGACUCGAAUGGUAAAAAUAAUGUCACUAUGAGUAACAAAUAUAACGACAAAUCGGAAGAAGAAAUAUUUGAAGAACUAAAAGAGAAUAUAAAAAAUAAUGUGAUAAAAGUGAUACCAAUUGAUAUUAAUAUGUACAUUAACAGAGAAAAACUAAUAAUAGAAAAUGAUUAUGACCAGAUUCAUGUAAUAAAUUUGACAAACAGUGAAAAAGUUCAAAAUAAUAUUUGUGAUCAAAUAAAAGAAAAAGAAAAAAUAAAUGAUUAUUUAUGCUUAACAGAUGAAAAACAAGAGGAUGAAUAUAAUGAUUUAUUUAGCAAAGAUUUUGAUGUUAAUAAAUGUGAUUCUAGUAGUAGUAAUUAUACUUUUACUGGGGGUAACACGUUAGCUAGUGAUGAUAGUGGUACCGUUACCAACGAAAAUAUAAGUUUCAAUAACAUAGAUGAAACUCAGAAAGACUUAUAUUUUAAGUCUAAUUUGUUUAAAAAGUUAAAAAUAUGUGGUCAAUUUAAUAAAGGUUUUAUUAUAUCAAAAAUAGAUUUAUUAUAUUUUAAAAAAGAAGCUAAUAACAUAAACCAACUUGAUGAUAAAAACGGUGAAACAAAAAAAAGCAACUAUGCAUUAUUCAUUAUAGACCAACACGCAGCAGAUGAAAAAUCGAACUUCGAAAAAUAUAACAAAAUAUUUACUAUGAAAUCACAAAAACUGAUAAGUAAAAUAGAUUUAGAAUUAAGUCCUGCACAAAUACAUAUAAUUAAAAAAUAUGAAGGUAUUUUUUUAGCUAAUGGGUUUGAUAUUGAAAUAGUAGAAGAACCAAUAAACAAGAAAAGAAAAAUGAACUAUGAUAAAGAACAUGUUGUUUUUAAUGGCACUAGCUUGGACAACAACUUGGACAACUUGGAAAACAACUGGGACAAAUUGGACAACAACUCGGACAA
rnacentral:lncRNA from 1 species